CAAACCAGGAGAGAAAGAGGGAAAAGAAAUAAGAACCCUAGCUGAAACAUUUGGGGAAAAUCAAGAGAAAUCAAGAAAUCAAGCAUUAAAAAGGUAAAUUUCAUUGAUUUUCCUUGUGAUUUUCACUACCCAUGCAUUUUUUCUCAUUUCCAUGCAAAAUUAGAAAGUGGGUAUGGACACCCAUGCUGGCCAAACCUCCAUGGAUGAGUUUUGAGUUUGAGUUUUGGUUGAUUUUAAUUGAAUUAAGUGAUUUUUGUUAGGUUAUAUUGAAAUAUAGCAAAAAUAAGCUAGAGAAAUAAUUUUCUCCCAUUGAAACCCAUUAUGCCGAAUUUUCUAGGGGAAUAUUGGCUGCUGAUCUUGAUGUUUAUUUGAGGAAUUAUGAUGAAUAAUGAUGAAUUAUGAGCCUAGAAAACUAAUGGGAAUUUUUAGAGCAAAAAUAUAAAUUUUUACCCACUAGGGGUAUUUUUAUAAUUUGCUAUCGGGACUGAUAAUUUGCACCACACUGAGGGACAUUAAGUCAAUUUGGGUGUAAUUGAGGUAUAAAAACUGAAAAAAAUUAAUUUGGAGUUUAAACAGACGCGUAUAUCGAUUUAUCAGGUAAAAGAUCGAAAUAGGCUAACACCGUGUUUAGGCAAAAUUUAGACAUUUUGCUCUUCAUAUCAUGCAUUAGUAGUAUAAAUUAGUUUAUUUUGGUUUAGUACCAAAGUAGUAAACCUCUUAAUUGUGCAAUUUGUCAAGGUGGCGAAUCCUCUAGCAAGGGCAAAGAAAUCGCACCCGAUGAGUAAUAGUUGGAGUACCCGAAUUUAGUUUUCAAAAACUGUGAGUAAACUUAUUAUCGUCUUAAUUAUCUAGAGUAGUUUUAUACAAUUGUGUGAUUUUAUAGAAAAUGGGUUUAAAUGGUAUAUUACUGUGUUUUAGGAGAAAUUGUGAUUUUAUAAAAUGAUUUUAUAGAUUUUCUGGAAAAUUGAAUACUAGUUUUGAAAAUAGAAUGAUUGAAAACUACCCGCUUGUGUUAUAAAUUGUGUUUUAAAUUAUAUGGCUUAUAGCAAUAUGUGAGCAUGAAUGGCAAAGUCUGUAUUUGUAUCAAAAUUAUAUAUACUAUGUAUUCAGCCUUGAGAGGCUAGAUUUCGAUAAAUUGUCAUGUCAUUCAUAUAAGGAUUUUAUAAAUCAAGUGGUAGAUAAAAUAAAGAUUAGCUACUGCAGUGGCGGGGUUCCGUGGACCAGCCUAUUAGAGGGGCAUGAUAAACUCCUUUAUAUUCUCACCUCGAUCGUAAAGGCGCGUAGGGUAUCUCCUGAGAUGGGCUUUUUGAGUGCACUUCACGUGGACCACCACGUGAGAGUGAGACUCAGCCAACACCAAGGCAUGGCUAGAAUUUUUGAUGUAAAGACAUUUAACAGCCUUGGUGGACUCGGUCAGAUGCCUAGGUCAAGGCAUCCCCGGGAAUGAUUUUGGCAGGAGCCAAGUUUUGUGAGAUAUAUAAGCCAUGUUGAUUAAUUGAGUAAACUGAAUAUUCAUGUUAUGAAACAUAUAUUGGAA
rnacentral:lncRNA from 1 species